rnacentral:lncRNA from 1 species
UCGCGACUCCCCACCCCCACCCCGCUCAGUCAGAGAUAGGAGCCCCGCACACCAGGGGCCAGGCGCUCCCCCCCAGCACCGGUCAGGAUCCGGACCCCCGCACAGCAAGAGCCAGGAGCUCCCCCCACAGCACCGGUCAGGAUCCGGACCCUCCCCACAGCAAGAGCCAGGAGCUCCCCCCACAGCAUCGGUCAGGAUCCGGACCCCCGCACAGUAAGAGCCAGGAGCUCCCACCACAGCACCGGUCAGGAUCCGGACCCUCCCCACAGCAAGAGCCAGGAGCUCCCCCCCCAGCACCGCUCAGGAUCCGGACCCUCCCCACAGCAAGAGCCAGGAGCUCCCCCCACAGCACCGCUCAGGAUCCGGACCCUCCCCACAGCAAGAGCCAGGAGCUCCCCCCACAGCACCGGUCAGGAUCCGGACCCUCCCCACAGCAAGAGGCAGGAGCUCCCCCCACAGCACCGGUCAGGAUCCGGACCCUCCCCACAGCAAGAGCCAGGAGCUCCCCCCCUGCACCGGUUAGGAUCCGGAGCCCCGCACAGCAAGAGCCAGGAGCUCCCCCCCGGCACCGGUCAGGAUCCGGACUCUCCCCACAGGAAGAGCCAGGAGCUCCCCCGCCCCCCAACACUGGUCAGGGUCGAGCCAGGAGCUCCCCUCCCCCUCCCAGCACCGGUCAGGGUCUGGACCCCCGCACAGCAAGAGUCAGGAGCUCCCCCCUCCCAGCACCGGUCAGGAUCCGGACCCACACAAACCAGGGGCCAUGAGCUGCCCCGCCCCCACCCAAAACCAGUGAGGAGCUGGACUCCCCUGACCGCUCAGGGCCCUGUAACCCCCUUUUCUCAUUGAAACACCAAAAUCCUUGCGAGAGAGAUGUUAAACACUGCCUUCAAAUUAACGGGGACUUGGGGCAAGUCUAUGUUCUCUCCCUUUGUAAGGAAAGCAACAAUGCAUCCAUGUGGCUAAACAGUCCACGAGAGUAACAGAACUACAAAAUAAAAAGGCAUCAUAUAAAAAAUGGAAACUAGGU